rnacentral:rRNA from 1 species
GUGGGGAAUCUUCCGCAAUGGACGAAAGUCUGACGGAGCAACGCCGCGUGAGUGAUGAAGGUCUUCGGAUUGUAAAGCUCUGUUAAUCGGGACGAAAGAGCCUAGUGUGAAUAAUGCUAGGAAGUGACGGUACCGGAAUAGAAAGCCACGGCUAACUACGUGCCAGCAGCCGCGGUAAUACGUAGGUGGCAAGCGUUGUCCGGAAUUAUUGGGCGUAAAGCGCACGCAGGCGGAUCUGCCAGUCUGUCUUAAAAGUUCGGGGCUUAACCCCGUGAUGGGAUGGAAACUACAGAGCUAGAGUAUCGGAGAGGAAAGUGGAAUUCCUAGUGUAGCGGUGAAAUGCGUAGAUAUUAGGAAGAACACCAGUGGCGAAGGCGACUUUCUGGACGAAAACUGACGCUGAGGCGCGAAAGCCAGGGGAGCGAACGGGAUUAGAAACCCUGGUAGUCC